UAGGAUUUGUUUUACAUACUAACAGUUGUUUUCGGCUUGCUUUGUAAGUGGAGUGUGUUGAUUCUCUGAAGCAGCUAAAGGAGAAUAAGAAUUUGAUUCGCAUCUUCAUUCUGCUUUUGCAGGAAUGAUAUUGAAGUAGAAGCACUAGUGAUGAAUUGAGAAGAAUACCAGCUAGCACUACCUUCCCUUCCCAAAUGGCCUGAAGGAUUGCUAAUAGCAUACAUGUGUAAGUGACACAAAUUGGGAAGGAGCCCCUGCUGAAAUUUUACUCAGUACCAUUGAGUGUGUGACAUUUUAAUAUAUCAGUCCACACAGUUAACUGGUAAGUGAUAUUAUAAUUAAUUUAUACUUGUCAUUAUAUUAUUUUCCAAGUUCAAGUUAUAGGUAAGUAUGGUGUACUCUUAGUUCAUUUAAACAUGUUGAUAUCAGUGUCAACCAAAUGUAUUUCAAACCUCAUACAAAUUUUUGGUCUUGAUAUCUAGUAAGCUCUAUUCCUUGUGAACCUAUUCAUUUUGUAUUAAAUGUAUGUACGUGAAUAUUAUUCCUACUCCUCAUAGAUCACAAGUGAAUUACUGGUGCUGCAACACUCUCUAUCAGAUUAGGUACAAGGGUGUUGGAAAGCAGUGUGGGCAAAUAAUUAUUAGUCGUACCAUAUUGUAUAAUUGAUUCAAAGGCAGUUACCUAAAAUAUAGAUUUCCUGUAUUA